CGUACGAAAAGGCAAACCUGUUGAAAAAUAGGGACGCAAAGCCACGGGCCUAAAGCAAAAAGUGCAAUGGCGGCUGGGUUACCGAA
rnacentral:ncRNA from 1 species